GGGACGAACGCUGGCGGCGUGCCUAACACAUGCAAGUCGAACGAGGCUGAUCUGGUGGCAACACCAGUGACUGCCUAGUGGCGAACGGGUGAGUAACACGUGAGGAACCUGCCCCGAAGACCGGGAUAACUCUCCGAAAGGAGUGCUAAUACCGGAUACCCCACCAGAUCGCAUGAUCAGGUGAGGAAAUGGAUUCCGCUUCGGGAGGGCCUCGCGGCCUAUCAGCUAGUUGGUGGGUAACGGCCUACCAAGGCAUCGACGGGUAGCUGGUCUGAGAGGACGAUCAGCCACACUGGGACUGAGACACGGCCCAGACUCCUACGGGAGGCAGCAGUGGGGAAUCUUGCGCAAUGGGCGAAAGCCUGACGCAGCAACGCCGCGUGGGGAUGAAGGCUCUCGGGUUGUAAACCCCUUUCAAGUGGGACGAUAAUGACGGUACCCGCAGAAGAAGCUCCGGCCAACUACGUGCCAGCAGCCGCGGUAA
rnacentral:rRNA from 1 species